rnacentral:rRNA from 1 species
UACGGAGGGAGCGAGCGUUGUCCGAAGUUACUGGGCGUAAAGCGCGCGUAGGCGGGGGAUUAAGUGAGAAGUGAAAGGCUGGGGCUCAACCCCAUGCAGUGCUUCUCAUACUGGUCCUCUUGAGGGCGGUAGAGAGAAGUGGAAUGGCUGGUGUAGCGGUGAAAUGCGUAGAUAUGCGGAGGAACACCGAUGGCGAAGGCAAUCCCCUGGGCCUGCACUGACGCUCAUGCACGAAAGCGUGGGGAGCAAACAGG